rnacentral:lncRNA from 1 species
GAAAAUGAAAUAGAAUGGAAUGAAAAUGAAAUUGAAUUUGAAUGGAAUAGUAACAUGUUAUAUUGUUUGUCUUUAGAAAAAUGAAUCAAAUUGAACUUGAUAGAAUUCAUUUCAUUGAAUACCAUAUUUAUUUUAAUUUUAAAAAAUUACUUUUUUCUUUAUAUUUUUUAAUUUUUAUUUUAUAAAAUAGUUUUUCAAAAUAUUAUAAUUUUUUU